rnacentral:rRNA from 1 species
CCUACGGGAUGCACCAGUGGGGAAUCUUGCGCAAUGGGCGAAAGCCUGACGCAGCAACGCCGCGUGCGGGAUGAAGGCCUUCGGGUUGUAAACCGCUUUCAGUGGGGACGAAUUCAGACGGUACCCACAGAAGAAGCCCCGGCCAACUACGUGCCAGCAGCCGCGGUAACACGUAGGGGGCGAGCGUUGUCCGGAAUCAUUGGGCGUAAAGAGCUCGUAGGCGGCUCAGUAAGUCGGGUGUGAAACCCCUAGGCUCAACCUAGGGACGCCACCCGAUACUGCUGUGGCUAGAGUCCAGUAGGGGAGUGUGGAAUUCCCGGUGUAGCGGUGAAAUGCGCAGAUAUCGGAAGGAACACCAGCGGCGAAGGCGGCACUCUGGGCUGGAACUGACGCUGAGGAGCGAAAGCGUGGGUAGCAAACAGGAUUAGAUACCCUUGUAGUC